rnacentral:rRNA from 1 species
GACAGGGGGCUCGAGCGUUAAUCGGAAUCACUGGGCUUAAAGGGUGCGUAGGCGGGCCAGUAAGCGUCUUGUGAAAUCCCCCGGCUCAACCGAGGAACUGCCUGUCAGACUGGAAGGCUUGAGACCGGGAGAGGUGAGUGGAAUUCCCAGUGUAGCGGUGAAAUGCGUAGAUAUUGGGAGGAACACCAGUGGCGAAGGCGGCUCACUGGACCGGAACUGACGCUGAGGCGCGAAAGCGUGGGGAGCAAACAGG